UGGGGAAUAUUGCACAAUGGGCGAAAGCCUGAUGCAGCAACGCCGCGUGAGCGAUGAAGGCCUUUGGGUCGUAAAGCUCUGUCCUAGGGGAAGAAUAAAUGACGGUACCCUUGGAGGAAGCCCCGGCUAACUACGUGCCAGCAGCCGCGGUAAUACGUAGGGGGCAAGCGUUAUCCGGAAUUAUUGGGCGUAAAGAGUGCGUAGGUGGUUUUGUAAGCGCGGGGUGAAAGGCAAUAGCUCAACUAUUGUAAGCCCUGCGAACUGUGAGACUUGAGUGCAGGAGAGGAAAGCGGAAUUCCUAGUGUAGCGGUGAAAUGCGUAGAGAUUAGGAAGAACACCAGUGGCGAAGGCGACUUUCUGGACCGUAACUGACGCUGAGGCAUGAAAGCGUGGGGAGCAAACA
rnacentral:rRNA from 1 species